GAUACCAGGGUCAAAAGGCCGGAAAUCCGAUGCAGGCUUGCUUGCAAGAGGAUUUUUGACCUUGGGAUCCGCCAAAAACAUGAAUAAGCAGCCAUUUUUCGCAGAAAAAUGAGCGGAUUAUGAAUGUUUUUAAGGAUUGCGGAAGCACGCAGUGCGAAACAAUCCGG
rnacentral:sRNA from 1 species